CCGGGCAGUGGACGCUGCUAUGGUGCGUACACGCCAUCCGACACACUAACGUCCUCGAUUCCGCUUUAACGAAGAGGAGGAGAAGUCCAGGAAUAUGAGUAAAGUGGACGCGCCAUGUCGCUCCAGCGCCUCCCUCAAGUUCACCAUUGACAACAUCCUCAACCUGAAGACGAGCGGGCGGGGCUCCGACGGAUGUCACCCCGGCGGAGAGGACCAUGACUCGGUCACGGGGACGAGUAAAGGCCGCAGCCUCCAGAGACCCGGAUGUGAAGAUAACGGUCGUGAGGACCGGAGAAGGGCGGCGGACGCGCGCUUGGAGAGCAGCGACAGCAGCUGCGACGACUCCAUCAUCCCGGAGCCACUUCAAGCGGACUGCGGCCCGGGCAAGAAGAGCAAAAUAAUGACAAAAAAGAAGACGCGCACCAUUUUUUCCAAGAGACAAAUCUUCCAGUUGGAGACUACCUUCGACAUGAAGCGCUACCUGAGCAGCGCCGAGCGCGCCUGCCUGGCCAACUCGCUGCAGCUCACCGAGACGCAGGUGAAAAUAUGGUUCCAGAACCGCAGGAAUAAGUUGAAACGGCAGAUCUCCAGUGAGAUCGACGGACCCGGGAGCGACUUCCCGGAGACGGUGAAGCCGGGGUUGGUGGCUCAGCUCCCGGCCUUGUACAAGGAGAGCAGCCUGCUGGGGAGGUGCCUGCUGCCCGUGCCGCUGCCCGUCGUGUACCCGGGCUCCCCCGCGCCUUACUUCUGCUUCUCCAGCACCAGCAAAAUGAACCACUGUCUUACCUGCACCUUUGCAUCCGGAGUUCCUGCUGCAUCUUGGAAGAACAAUCCACGCAUCACCAUGCGACCACGGCGCUACAAGUAGACUCGAUAUAAGAAGCUCUACAAACUACAAGCUGGCUUACGGGGGACAAGGCGCAAUUGAAGGGGGCUUGACCUGGAGGAGGACUUAGACAGUAUGUGUGGGAGCCAGAGUACGACCCCAGCCCCCAGAGAGCCCAACCCACAAACAGUAGGUGUGGCGCCCAGGGAACCAGGGACCACCGCCCCCACGCAGCCAGGCCGGCCAGCGACAGGAACCCCAGAGCCAGGCCCACCGCGCAGCCCGUAAGAGCCAGCAGCAGGCCGCAGACAGACGCACCCGGCAGAGGACAAGGCACGAGAAAAGCAGGGGACAGCCAGAGCCCAAGCCAGCGAGAGACCACACCCCACACGGGCAGAAAGGCGGGACGCCCCGCCCGGGGGGGCUCAGAGACUCCUCGUGUGAAUGCUCCAAUGCUGAAGUUGAACUAAAAUGCUGACAUAAUAUAGUAUGAAUGUAAGAAUAGUUUGAAUGUUGAAAUGGUUUGAAUGUUGAAGGGUUUGAACUUCCAGGAAAAACAGAAUUUAGUUUGGAACUUGGGAAAAUGUUAGUUGGAUGAGUGGAAUAUGUUGAAGGUGGAAUGGUUUGAAUAGGUUGAAAAAUGUAGGAAUUGUGGAAGUUUGAAAAAUGGACAAUACAUUUUUGAAUAGGGAAAAUGUCCCUGAAAACAGGCAAUUCUUGGAAAUCCGGUAAUUUUUUUUAAAUUGUUGAAGGAGAGCACACAAUUCCUGAAAAGGGUGAAUAUUUGGAAGUUGGAACUGUUUGAAUCGGAUAAGAAAAUGUGGUAACUGUGGAACUUUGAAUACUGUCCCACUCAUUUCAAUGGGAAUUUCAUUGAAAUUUGGGAAUUUCGGGAAAAGCGGGAAUUUUUUUGGAAAAUAUUAAAAAACUUGAAUGUCCUGAAUGAGUUGAAAUGGUUGGUGUUGGAAUUUUCCAAAUUGGUUGAGAAAUGUUGAAGUAGUAACAUUUUGAAUUGAGAAGUGGUAUUAAGGAGUUCCUGGAAUUUCGGGAAAACUGGUAAUUUUUCCAGUUCGAAAAACAACUUAGUUUUUUUUUCCUGAUUAAGAGGAAUGUUUGGACAGUGGAAAGGUUGAAGUGGGUUUAAAAAAAUGUGGG